AUCAUGUUUAUCUGCUCAAGCUAUUAAAAUUUCCGUGAACAACAUGGAUUAUUUCGUUUUAUGAUCGUUUUAUUUAGUAGGGUUUAAUAGAUUUCUUCAAAUCAAUGUUGAUAUUUUAAAUUGCCUAAAUCCAAACAUCCUUUAACGAGAUCCAAUUAUUUAAGAGUGGUUACUCAAUCAAUUGUCUUUAUUUUAAUCUCGCCAAAUAGCUAUCCAGAAUUGUGGAACUUCUGAGACACCUUCUCUAAUGAUUCACUAUCCACAAGUAAAAAACUAAUAUAAUGUUUUGUUUUUGAUAAUCUAAUACACUGU